rnacentral:tRNA from 1 species
GAGGGUGUAGCUCAAAUGGUAGAGCACAUGCUUAGCAUACAUGAGGUCCUAGGUUCAAUCCCCAGUACCUCCU